GUCAGUAACCCAGCCCUAAAGGGACUGGGCUUGCAAGAGUAAUCAAGCAAGCCGUACUGACCAGACCACCCUGAGCGGCUUGCCCUGAGCGAAGUCGAAGGGAGUCGAAGGGUAGCCGUUAUUUGAGUCACGACACCUCGGAAUGCGUUCGCGCCAGCGUGCCGUCAGGCAUAGCUAGUUCCCUGCUCUGUC
rnacentral:sRNA from 25 species